GGCACUAUGGCCGAGUGGUUAAGGCGGUAGACUCGAAUUUGCGCUGGCGCACCGUUUCUGGUGCACCGGCGUUUCCUCGGCGAUCUACUUUCUUCGGAAGCGCAGGUUCAAAUCCUGCUGGUGUCG
rnacentral:tRNA from 1 species